UACGGAAGGCAGCAGUGGGGAAUAUUGCACAAUGGGCGAAAGCCUGAUGCAGCUAUGCCGCGUGUAUGAAGAAGGCCUUAGGGUUGUAAAGUACUUUCAUCGGGGAGGAAAAACAAAACUAAUAAUUUUAUUUCUUGACGUUACCCGAAAAAGAAGCACCGGCUAACUCCGUGCCAGCAGCCGCGGUAAUACGGAGGGUGCUAGCGUUAAUCAGAAUUACUGGGCGUAAAGAGCACGUAGGUGGUUUUUUUAAGUCAGAUGUGAAAUCCCUGGGCUUAACCUGGAACUGCAUUUUGAAACUGAAAUACUAGAGUAUCGUAGAGGGAGGUAGAAUUCUAGGUGUAGCGGUGAAAUGCGUAGAGAUGUGGAGGAAUACCGGUGGCGAAGGCGGCCCCUGGACAAAGACUGACGCUCAUGUGCGAAAGCGUGGGGAGCAAACAGGGAUUAGAUACC
rnacentral:rRNA from 1 species